GAGAGAGAGAGAGAGAGAUUAACGUUCUAUACAGUGCGACGUAUGCAAGCGCCCAUAUAAAGGGCUUCACAGGAGGAAUUAUACUCCUUGGUAUAUAGUGUUAUUACAUACAUAUGCCAGUCGUACAUUAAAACCAUAUUACGUCGUCGUGUGCGUAGCGUGUUCCGUACGAUUGCUUCGACCGUCGUCUGUAAACUUAACGGGGGUAUCGUAAAUUAAGCUACAGACGAGCGGCCAUUUUCUUUCUUCCUUCCUUCCUUCCUUCCUUUAUUUCUUUAUUUCUUUUUUCCUUUCUCUCUACGGGCAAAAAUAGUUUUAACGUAACAAAGUUCAACGACGUUACUAUGUCAAAAUGAAAUUAUAUUGCUGAUCAAGACCAAACGAAUUUCGAAGAACAAUAAACGCAUAUACGUAUGUAUAUAUGCAUCUUGAUAUAUAUGUAAAUACGAACGUGUGAAAAGACGACAUAUCGAGACAUGAAAGAAUAAAGAACGUGUCGCGGAAUCAUGCUCGAGUUGCACAGAUUUGCGAGCUCCAACAUUCACCGGGUCAAGUAAGGAGGAAAGGUUCCCUUGGUGGGAGAGGUACCCCGCUACCUUACUGGAGGACCCUCGUCCUGACUUCUGGUUACAAGGAGAAGGAGCUCUACUCUAAACACACACACAUACACACAUACACGCACGCACGCACGCACACAUACAUAUUGAUGCAUUGCGCAACAAUGCACCGCCACCUGCACUCGUUUCGUCACACAGCGGCUUUAAUCGGCUCUCGACGGUGCCUGCCACUGACUACUCGCAUUACUUUCGCCAAUUAAACUUUGACGGUCGUCAUUGUGUUUAACUUGAAUAUGAAAUUAUAGUCGCCGCGUUAUUUCAAAUAUCAAAACGAUCCAAAUUCCAAAAUAAUUACAGCCAUUUAAAAGGCAUUAGAAUGAAAAAAAAAUCAACGUUGCUCUUCUUUGUUUCAAUUUAUUUUUAUUUGUACCUCUUUUUUUUUUUUCUUUUUUUUUUUUUAUUUUUAUUUUUUUUUCCUCAUUUUACUUUGUUUCUUAUAUCAGCAAAUUCAGCAAAGAAUAAUUCGUGGACAAUUUCGCGCAUAUCGCGAUCGUCGAUUUAUUUUAAAUUCGACAUGAGCAUCAUUAGGGUCAAAUAUAAUGGUAAUAUAUUAUGAUAGAAUCGUAAUCGUAAUUAUUUAUUAAUGAAACGAAUUAUUUAGAAUGUCUUUCGAAAAGUAAUGAUGACGAUGGUAAUGACGUCGAUAAAGAGAUCUUGGUGAAUAUUGAUUGUCCUAUUGGACUUAUAUUAGAUUACAUUCGAGAAGUAAUACGAUUGGAUAAUACCUGUAUAUAAAUAUUUUAUAUGUUAAUUUAUAUUUGAAAUUAUCGUUUAGAUCUUUUAAUGUUUAAUGAAUGAAUUUCUAGGUAAAAUUGAUUUAUGCGAUGAAUUGAAUUGUCAAUUAAGAAAUUUGUCUAUCGCUGAAACAUCUACCUCAGGUUUAUAUCUAUUACAACCUGGCAUCACCUAUUUCGUAGUUAUCUUUGGAAAUAACGUUAAUGAUCAAGCUACAACAUUAAUACCACUUGUAAGUCAGAAGAUAGGGAAAAAGUGUUUGGAAAUUUUCAAGAAAACUCGACAAAAGAAAAACUUACAAAAAUAAUUAUACAAACUUUACAUCCUUAUGCACAUUGUUUAUAUGAAUUUUGAAUGAACUUGUAUGAUUUAAUUAUAUAUAGUGAAACAUUAGGAAAUAUGAAAUAUUGUGUAUAUAAAUUAUUAUAUUAAUCUCGUCGUUAAAUGUCACACAAGACUUUUAUCUAAUUCUUUGAAAUUUUUAUCCUCGUUUGUAAGAUUAUAAAACUUUCCGUGUCUGCCUAUACCUUCUUCGACAAACUUCUUUGCACCUUCUAUGCCUUCUUCUGUUACAAGAUGAAGGGCAUUGUCUUUUUCAAAUUGCAAUGCCUCAUCCAUUUGCUUAGAUGAAAAAGUAGCAAAGUGCAUAGAGGUACGAUCUGCCAGUAAAGUUUUUUGAGGAAAUUUUAUCAAUGAUUUUGCAUAAUUGAUAGCUGUACCCAGACCAGUACCGUGUGCAGUACAUUUAGUGGCAAGUCCAAUAUUGAAAGCUUCUUCUCCGCUAAUAGCUUUCCCUGUCAAAAUUAGAUCCAUGGCUCUAGCAUAUCCAAUCAUUGCUGGUAAACGAACUGUACCACCGCAUAAAAUAGGUAUUCCAAAACGCCUAUUCAAAAAUCCUAUGACAGCAUUUUCCUCAAUGACUCGUAGAUCACACAUUAAUGCCAAUUCUAAUCCAGCACCCAAGACAUAUCCAUUUAAACAAGCUACCAAUGGUUUACUGGUCAAUUCGCUUUUAUUGGCCUGUUUUAAUCAAUUAAGUUUUAUUACGUCUAUGAAUAAAUGUCCAUAAAAUAUUUCCUUAUAUAAAGAUAUAUCGACUUGCCAGUGUUCCAUAUUGUGGUAGAUUAUCUUCUUUUUCUUGAUUAUAAUUUGCAAUUUCAUGUAGAUCAAAACCUGAACAGAAAUUUCCACCUAUACCGUGCAAUACACCCACAACAGCAUUUUCAUCCUUCUCAAAUUCAUCCAAUGCAUCACAAAGUAAUUGAGCUGUUGCACUGUCCAAAGCAUUCUUCUUCUCUGGCCUAUUUAUAGCGAUUAAAGUAAUUUUGUCGCUUUUAUUAACGAUAAUACUUUUCUCUAAAAAAUAAAACAAAAAAGAUUUUAUUAUAUAUAUAUAUAUAUAUUUUUUUUUUUUCUAUAGAAAUUAUAGAACCUUACCUUUUUCUGUAUUUUC